rnacentral:snRNA from 1 species
UGCUCCUUUGGCAGCGUGUAUACUAAAUUUGAAACGACAAAGGGAAAAUUACAUGGCACCUUGUGCAAAGAUGGCAUGCAAAUUUG